rnacentral:tRNA from 1 species
UGAUAGCUUAGUUUAUAAAAAUAAAUACUUUGAAAGUAUUAGUUAGAGAAUAACUCUAGUUAUU